GAUGAACGCUGGCGGCGUGCCUAAUACAUGCAAGUCGAGCGAACAGACGAGGAGCUUGCUCCUCUGACGUUAGCGGCGGACGGGUGAGUAACACGUGGAUAACCUACCUAUAAGACUGGGAUAACUUCGGGAAACCGGAGCUAAUACCGGAUAAUAUAUUGAACCGCAUGGUUCAAUAGUGAAAGACGGUUUUGCUGUCACUUAUAGAUGGAUCCGCGCCGCAUUAGCUAGUUGGUAAGGUAACGGCUUACCAAGGCAACGAUGCGUAGCCGACCUGAGAGGGUGAUAGGCGACACUGGAGCGGAGACACGGUCCAGACGCCUGAGGGAGGGAGCAGUAGGGAAUCUUACGCAGUGGGCGAGAGUCUGGCGGAGCAGCGCCGCGUGAGUGAUGAAGGUGUUCGGUGCGUAAAACUCUGUUAUUAGGGAAGAACAAAUGUGUAAGUAACUAUGCACGUCUUGACGGUACCGAAUCAGAAAGCCACGGCUAACUACGUG
rnacentral:rRNA from 1 species